CCUACGGGUGGCAGCAGUGGGGAAUAUUGGGCAAUGGGCGCAAGCCUGACCCAGCAACGCCGCGUGAAGGAAGAAGGCUCUCGGGUUGUAAACCUCUUUUAUCAGGGACGAAGCAAGUGACGGUACUUGAUGAAUAAGCCUCGGCUAACUACGUGCCAGCAGCAGCGGUAAUACGUAGGUGGCAAGCGUUAUCAGGAUUUACUGGGUGUAAAGGUCGUGUAGGCGGGAGUGCAAGUCAGAUGUGAAAACUAUGGGAUCAACCCAUAGCCUGCAUUUGAAACUGUACGUCUUGAGUGCUGGAGAGGCAAUCGGAAUUCCGGGUGUAGCGGUGAAAUGCGUAGAUAUACGGAGGAACACCAGUGGCGAAGGCGGAUUGCUGGACAGUAACUGACGCUGAGGCGCGAAGGCGUGGGGAGCAAACAGGAUUAGAUACCCUUGUAGUC
rnacentral:rRNA from 1 species